AAGGCCAGUUUCGAUUACCUUGACGCUCGAAGGUCACGGAGAUCAUUACGUAAAACGUGUCAUGCAGUGGUGUAGAGGUUGGGUGAGAAUGACACGUGUUGCUUCAUUAUCAAAAAGACCCAUCCCCGGCAAAGUCACCUGCAGAAGGAAAGGCCAGUUUGCAUUUCAAUCGAAGGUCAUGAAGAUCAUUACGUAAAAGGUGUCAGGUAUUGGUGUAGAGGUUGGGUGAAAACGGGACGUUUUGCUUCAUUAUCAAGAAGGUAAAAUAUAGCCAUUAGGCUUAAGAGGAGGGGUGAGAAAAAAUUGUAUUAAAGGCGAGAGAAAAGUUGACAGGGAUCAGUCGAGUGAGCAUCUCCGACCCGGCGACAACUUCAUUCUUCGUCGUAUUACCAGGUCGCAAUCACGGUUAACAAUGCCGUCAUGCUGCUAUUGGUUGUUGUAUCGUCGAUGGCUGGGUCGAUCACUGGUGUACCGACGUAUCCUGGUUAAGGCGGAUACCAAACCGCAACGCCACCGCCUUACUAAACAACAACCUGACAACAACAUACGCAACGACCAGAUACUACACCGAGGUUGCACUGUUGGGUUUACAGUUAAAUCACCAAGGAUCCAGAUGAUUUCACCACAACUUGUGCUGCUCCUCGAGCUACACUACCAAAGCGCUACAGUACUACACCGAGGCACCUACUGAGACUACGCAACUACGUAUGCUGCCCCAACCUACGACACCGAGGCUCCAGCUUAUUACAUCACCAAGGCUGUCGAAUUCUACACUGGAGCGCCCAAGUACGACAGAAAUCAGUCAAGUGAGCUUCUCCGACACCCAACACGGCAACCCCGAAGUUUCGAAUAAACUUCGUUUCAAACAGUGGAACGGCAAAGAGUGAAGGUGUUAAACGAAAAUCUUUUCCAAUCCCUGAGCGGUGCCCUUAAAGAUGCCCACGAGCACGUAGCGCUGUUCCGCAACAUCGAUGGUGGUAACAUAGGUCGAGUUCUCCGUUCCCCUAAAUAUUUGAGCCAAUGGACAACCGAGAAAGUGAAAGCGGAAAGUGUUAAUGUUUUGCCCAAAGCUAAUGUUGAGGGUGUAAUUUUGGAAGACUACAAGGUCGCAUUGUCCUUAAACAAUGGUCAAAAGAUUUAAACUGACAAUGUCGUCGUUGCUGUCGGUUGGGACGUAAACACGGAUUUGGCUGUUGCUUUUGGUUUGGAAAUAGAGGAGAGGAGAUUUUGGUGGUUAUCGAGUCAAUACCGAGCUUGAAGCACAAUCGAACGUUUGUUUGACUGGAGAUGUUACGUUCUUUUCUGAUAUCAAAUUGGGUCGCUGUUGUAUGGAACAUGUUCACCAUGCUGUUGUAUCAGGGCGAUUGGCUGGAGAGAACAAUACUGGCAAAGAAAUAUGGAUGAAAAACUGCAGUGCACUAUUACCAAGUGGAUUCUUCGUCGUAUUAUCAGUACGCAAUCGGUUGAUUGUGAUGUCGCCGUUUGCCGUAUCGUUGAAAGCUGGGUCGAUCACUGGUGUACCGAUGUCUCCUGGGUAUGGCGGGUACCAAAGCAUCACGCCGACGCCAUACUACACAACCUCAACAUUCGCAAAAAACGGUUACUACACUGAGGCACACUAUUACUACACCACCAAGGCUCCAGAGUAUUACACCGAAGCUGAUGCUGCCCCGAGUUACAUCAUCAAACGUACUACACCGAGGCCCCCUAGUUCCUAGCUACUAAACCGAGCCUCCAACUUAUUACACCACCAAAGCGGCUGAAUACUACACCGAGCCGUCCAAGUACUACACCAACAAGGCUCCAGAGUAUUACACCACAACUUUUGCUUCCCUGAGCCUCUACAUCGAAGCCCCGAAGUAUUACUCUGCCCUAAGCUACACAACUACAACUGAGGCGGCCAAGUACUACGCAGCCCCAACUUACUACACAGCGGCUGCUCCUUCGUACUACGUUGAACCGGAAUACUACACCUAGGCUUCAGUUUACUACACCACAACCUAUGCUACACCGAGGCCCCUAUGUACUACACUACCAAGGCACCUGAGUAUUAUAACACUACUUACGCUGCUCCGACCAACUACACCGAAGCUCCGAAGUAUUACUCUAUCCCGAGUUACUACACCACUAAGGCACCUGAAUAUUACACCACACCUUACGCUUCUCCAACUUACUACAGGGACGCUCCUAAAUAUUAUAAGUAUGUUCAGAUUUGUCGGUCAUAUCUUAAUAGUUACUAGUCACUGGGAAUUGUUGAUUUUUAAUAGGGAAAUAGUUUUUUUAAACCUGG
rnacentral:lncRNA from 1 species